rnacentral:rRNA from 1 species
GGCCGCGGGAAUUCGAUUCAGGCCUAACACAUGCAAGUCGAGCGGUAGAGAGAAGCUUGCUUCUCUUGAGAAAGGCGGACGGGUGAGUAAUGCCUAGGAAUCUGCCUGGUAGUGGGGGAUAACGUUCGGAAACGGACGCUAAUACCGCAUACGUCCUACGGGAGAAAGCAGGGGACCUUCGGGCCUUGCGCUAUCAGAUGAGCCUAGGUCGGAUUAGCUAGUUGGUGAGGUAAUGGCUCACCAAGGCUACGAUCCGUAACUGGUCUGAGAGGAUGAUCAGUCACACUGGAAGGGAGACACGGUCCAGACUCCUACGGGAGGCAGCAGUGGGGAAUAUUGGACAAUG